AGUGAACGCUGGCGGUAGGCCUAACACAUGCAAGUCGAACGGCAGCACAGUAAGAGCUUGCUCUUACGGGUGGCGAGUGGCGGACGGGUGAGGAAUACAUCGGAAUCUACUUUUUCGUGGGGGAUAACGUAGGGAAACUUACGCUAAUACAGCAUACGACCUACGGGUGAAAGCAGGGGAUCUUCGGACCUUGCGCGAUUGAAUGAGCCGAUGUCGGAUUAGCUAGUUGGCGGGGUAAAGGCCCACCAAGGCGACGAUCCGUAGCUGGUCUGAGAGGAUGAUCAGCCACACUGGAACUGAGACACGGUCCAGAGUCCUACGGGAGGCAGCAGUGGGGAAUAUUGGACAAUGGGCGCAAGCCUGAUCCAGCCAUACCGCGUGGGUGAAGAAGGCCUUCGGGUUGUAAAGCCCUUUUGUUGGGAAAGAAAAGCAGCAGGUUAAUACCCCGCUGUUCUGACGGUACCCAAAGAAUAAGCACCGGCUAACUUCGUG
rnacentral:rRNA from 1 species